AGUGAACGCUGGCGGUAGGCCUAACACAUGCAAGUCGAACGGCAGCACAGUAAGAGCUUGCUCUUACGGGUGGCGAGUGGCGGACGGGUGAGGAAUACAUCGGAAUCUACUUUUUCGUGGGGGAUAACGUGGGGAAACUUACGCUAAUACCGCAUACGACCUACGGGUGAAAGCAGGGGAUCUUCGGACCUUGCGCGAUUGAAUGAGCCGAUGUCGGAUUAGCUAGUUGGCGGGGUAAAGGCCCACCAAGGCGACGAUCCGUAGCUGGUCUGAGAGGAUGAUCGGCCACACUGGAACUGAGACACGGUCCCGGCUCCUACGGGAGGCAGCAGUGGGGAAUAUUGGACAAUGGGCGCAAGCCUGAUCCAGCCAUACCGCGUGGGUGAAGAAGGCCUUCGGGUUGUAAAGCCCUUUUGUUGGGAAAGAAAAGCAGCAGGUUAAUACCCCGCUGUUCUGACGGUACCCAAAGAAUAAGCACCGGCUAACUUCGUG
rnacentral:rRNA from 1 species